rnacentral:rRNA from 1 species
AAAAACAUCGCCUUCUGAACAAUUAUAGAAGGUCCAGCCUGCCCAGUGACCAAGUUAAACGGCCGCGGUACCCUAACCGUGCGAAGGUAGCGCAAUCACUUGUUCUUUAAAUGAGGACUAGUAUGAACGGCAUCACGAGGAUUACACUGUCUCCCUCCCCCAAUCAAUGAAACUGACCUCCCCGUGAAGAAGCGGGGAUAAACAUAUAAGACGAGAAGACCCUAUGGAGCUUUAAACACACCACUACUUAUCUAAAUCUACUCCAUCCAAGACAGAUAAAACUAAUGUGCGUUUUCAGUUGGGGUGACUGCGGAGCAUAAUAAAACCUCCACGAUGAAAACUAAUCCAAGAACAACAGUUCAAAGAAUCAAUAAAUUGACAUCAAUUGACCCAAAUAAAAUUAUUUGAUCAACGAACCAAGUUACCCUAGGGAUAACAGCGCAAUCCAUUUCAAGAGCUCAUAUCGACAAAUGGGUUUACGACCUCGAUGUUGGAUCAGGGUAUCCCAGUGGUGCAGCCGCUACUAAAGGUUCGUUUGUUCAACGAUCAAAACCCUACGUGAUCUGAGUUCAG